CGGGUAGCUCAGUUGGUAGAGCAGCGGACUGAAAAUCCGCGUGUCGGGGGUUCAAGUCCCCCCCCA
rnacentral:tRNA from 1 species